GUUACGUGUAACUAUAUGGAGAAAUCAGCCGACGUCGUAGUAGCCAGCCACCUGAUAGGUUGGUGAAGGAC
rfam:Salegentibacter echinorum strain DSM 24579 genome assembly, contig: Ga0131147_111